AUUCAACAUGGAUAUAACUUAAACAUACAAUGAUGAAGAGGGAAAACAUCCCUAAUGUAUGUUUUCAUAUCUUUAAUUUGAAGUAAAAGUGUCAAAUGUAGGCUUCAAAUAUUAUUUUUCACUUCAAGUGAUUACUUCUGAAGUUGGAGAUAGGAUGCAUGAAUGGUAGUUUCUGAAAUGGUUCUGAGGAUUCUAGCCUUAAAAUAUCCAUGCUCCUAUGCAUCAGUCUCCUUAAGUAUAGACUAGAUUCAAUGAUUCCUGUAAAAUGAUUUGAAUGUGGCAAAAAUAAUGGCCUACCAUUUCAGGGAUUUUGUUAUGAGAUGAGUUGCUUCCAUCAUCCAUUCACUGUCUUGCUCUCUUGUUUGCUUGCUUUAAGGAAACCAGCUGCAAUGUUGUGAGCCUUCCUGUGGGGAGGAACAUAUGGCAUAUAACAGAGGGAGGCCUCUGGCUCUAAGCUAGUGAGGAACAACUUGUGAGGAGGUGAAUCCUGAUAGCCACCACGUGAAAGCACUUGUAAUUAGAUCACCCUCAAGUUGAGCCAUCACAUGAAACCAUAGACCCAGUUGACCCCAGAGGGGCAGCCUUGUCAGAGAUCCUGAAGCAGAUGUAUUGCACAGGAUGCAUCUAGAUUUCUGCUGGAUAGGAAUGCUAAAGUAAUGGAUGUCUAUUGUUUGAGAUCACAGAUUUUCAGGGUAAUUCAUUAAGCAACAGUAGAUAACUAAUACUGGAAGGAUGGAUAAUGUCUGGAAAUACCUGGCAGCCUAGUAAAAAUCUGCAGUUUUCUACCGGAGCUUUUGUUUUAUGUUUCUGUCCUUGGCUUGGCUUUCCUGUACUCUGUGGUUUUAUCUACGUGUUGCAAACAAGAUGGCUGUCACAACUGGAUGCCUCAUAGAUAUCUAGCAAGUGUUGUUUAGAAGAAAUACAACGGCAACUUCCGUAAUUUAAAAUCGUCUAGACACUGUGUUCAAGAGGAUGAAGGAACAUUAGGACAACAGUAUUGAAACACAGAAGAUAAACAACAAGAAGGUCUAAUUAAGCUCAACAUAUCAAUAAUAAUGUUAAACACAGGUGGACAUAAACUAAUUAAAAGUCAGUGAUUGUCAAAUUGGAUAAUUAAGGCAGAUGGAUUUGUAUUCAGUUUACAAGGGAUGCAUACUAAACAUAAAAACAGUAAAAUUCAAAGUAGGAAUAUUAAAAAGAUGUAAACACUGAUUAUAAUAAAAGUGUGAUAGCCAUACUAAUGCAUGAUUAAGUAGACUUCUAAAAUGGAGUAUGACGAGGAAUUUAAAACAAUCUUAACA
rnacentral:lncRNA from 1 species